rnacentral:rRNA from 1 species
UACGUAGGCAGCGAGCGUUGUUCGGAGUUACUGGGCGUAAAGAGUGCGUAGGCGGUUUUCUAAGUUUGGUGUGAAAUCUCCCGGCUCAACUGGGAGGGUGCGCCGAAGACUGGAAGGCUUGAGUAUGGGAGAGGUAAGCGGAAUUCCUGGUGUAGCGGUGAAAUGCGUAGAUAUCAGGAGGAACACCUGCGGUGUAGGCGGCUUACUGGACCAUAACUGACGCUGAGGCACGAAAGCGUGGGUAGCAAACAGG